rnacentral:rRNA from 1 species
AAUUAAUUUAAUAAAUUUUUUUUUUUGAAUAAUUUAAAUUAAUAUUAUUUAAAGUUUUAAAAUAAAUUAAGGUUUAAUUAAUAAUUUUGAAAUAAUUUAUAAAUUUAUAAUGAAAGUAAUGUGAAUGAAUUUUUAAAAAUAUAAAUAAGUAGAAUUUAAUUUUGUACCUUUUGUAUCAGGGUUGAUUAAAAAUAAUUUAAAAAUUUAAUUAUCUCGAAAAUAGGAGAGCUAAAUUUAUAUUAUUGUUUUUGUAGAAAUAAAAUUAUAAAUAUAAAUUUAGAAAUUAUAUGUUAGACGAACUUAUUGAUAUCUAGUUUUUUUAGAAAUAAAUUUAAUUUAGAUAUAAUUUUUUUAAUAAAUUAAAUUUUAAUUUAAUUUAUUAAAUUUUAUAUUAAAAAUUUAUGGGAUAAACUAUAAAUUUAAUAAUAAAAAUUUAUUUUUUUAAUUUUAAUAUUAUGAAUAUAAUAUUGUUUUUUAAUUUAAAAAAUUUAAUAAUUUAGUUUUUAAUUAAUUAUAAAGAUUUAAAAAAUUAAAAUUUUAUUUUUGUUAUAAAAAUAUAUAUUAUAAUUUUUAAAAUAUAGAAAUAAUGAUUAAAUUAGUAAUAAUUUUAUAUUUUGAAUUUUUAUUUAUAAAAUAUAUAAUUUAAAGGAACUCGGCAAAUAUAUUAUUCACCUGUUUAUCAAAAACAUGUCUUAUUGAUUAUAAUUUUAAGUCGAUCUGCUCCAUGAAUAAAAUUAUUUAAAUAGCUGCAGUAUAUUGACUGUACAAAGGUAGCAUAAUAAAUUGUCUUUUAAUUGAAGAAUUGAAUGAACGAAUUAAUGAAAUAAUUACUGUCUCUAAAUUAUUUAAUGAAUUUAAAUUUUUAGUUAAAAUUCUAAAAUUUAAUUAUGGGACGAUAAGACCCUAUAGAAUUUUAUUUAAUUUAUUAUUUAAUUUAAAUUAUUUAUAAAUAAAUAAUAAUUUAAAUUUGAUUGGGAGGAUUAAUAAAUUUAAUAAACUUUAUUUUUAAAUUUAAUUUUGAUUUAAAGAUAUAAAAUGAUUUAUAAUUUGUAAAUAUAAGAAUAAAUUACCUUAGGGAUAACAGCGUAAUAUCUUUUGAUAGGUCAUAUUGAUAAAGAUGAUUGCGACCUCGAUGUUGAAUUAAGAUAAAAAUUAAAUGCAGGAGUUUAAUAAUUUAAGUCUGUUCGACUUUUAAAAUCUUACAUGAUUUGAGUUCAAAUCGACGUAAGUCAGAUUGGUUUCUAUCUAUAAUAAAUUAUAAAUUAAUUGUACGAAAGGACUUUAAUUUUUAAAUAAUUUAUAGUUUAUAAAUAUAAUAAAUAAAUUGUUAUU